CCAAUAGCGUAUAUUAAAGUUGUUGCAGUUAAAAAGCUCGUAGUUGAAUUUCGGGGUCAGCAGGUUGGUCGUGCCACUGGUAUGCACUGGUUUCGCUGAUUCCUCCUUUCUGAAGAACUGUAAUGCCAUUAAUUUGGUGUUGCAGGGAAACAGGACUGUUACUUUGAAAAAAUUAGAGUGUUUAAAGCAGGCUAACGCUUGAAUACAUUAGCAUGGAAUAAUGAAAUAGGACGUUAAUCCUAUUUUGUUGGUUUCUAGGAUCGACGUAAUGAUUAAUAGGGAUAGUUGGGGGCAUUAGUAUUCAAUUGUCAGAGGUGAAAUUCUUGGAUUUAUCGAAGACUAACUACUGCGAAAGCAUUUGCCAAGGAUGUUUUCAUUAAUCAAGAACGAAAGUUAGGGGAUCGAAGACGAUCAGAUACCGUCGUAGUCUUAACCAUAAACUAUGCCGACUAGGGAUCGGAUGAUGUUAUCUUUAAUGACUCA
rnacentral:rRNA from 1 species